CCUACGGGAGGCAGCAGUAGGGAAUCUUCCACAAUGGGCGAAAGCCUGAUGGAGCAACGCCGCGUGGGUGAAGAAGGUCUUCGGAUCGUAAAACCCUGUUGGUAGAGAAGAAAGUGCGGGAGAGUAACUGUUCACGUGUCGACGGUAUCUAACCAGAAAGCCACGGCUAACUACGUGCCAGCAGCCGCGGUAAUACGUAGGAGGCAAGCGUUAUCCGGAUUUAUUGGACGUACAGGGAACGCAGGCGGUCUUUUAAGGCUGAUGUGAAAGCCCUCGGCUUACCCGGAGUAGUGCCUUGGAAACUGGGAGACUUGAGUGCAGACGCGGUGAGUGGCACUCCCUGUGUAGCGG
rnacentral:rRNA from 1 species